AUGGACAGUGGCGGCCUACGCCGCCGCCGCCUCAAACCAAGCGGCGCCAUGGAGGGGAAGAGUUCCGCGAAGAAGAAGAAGGUGAGGACGACCAACCCUCCGGCUGAGGAGGCAGUGACGGCGGCGGCGGCCAGCCUCCUGACGGAGGAUCUCAUUUUGGAGAUCCUCUCCCGCCUCCCCGCCAGGUCCGUCCACCGCUUCAAGUGCGUCUCCCCGGCCUGGCGCGACCUCAUCGCCGACCCCGCCCACCGCAAGAAGCUGCCCCAACCCCUCGCCGGUUUCCUCUACAGCACCUACCACGGGCCGGACCACCGCUUCUACAACUUUCACUUCGCCAAAGUCCCCGGCGGCGCAGCCCAGCCGGUCGACCCGUCCCUCUCUUUCUUGCCGUCCCACGAGUACUGGUACGUCGACCAGCUGGACACCUGCAAUGGCCUCCUCCUCUGCCGCGCCCACAAGUUCCCUUCUUCUCCUUCCGGGGACGACGAUGAUCCGCUUGAAUACCAUUACAUCGUUUGCAAUCCGGCCACCGGGAGGUGGGUUGGCAUCCCCGCACUCCCGCCGGUGCCAGCCGGCCGCCGCAUCAUCGCGCGUUUGGCUUUUGAUCCAGCAGUCCCGUCCCAUUUCCACGUUCUUCAGUUUGAGGACACCGAACAGGAUAAAUACAUCACAGGAGUGACCAUCUACUCUUCGCAAACCGGAGCCUGGAAUUACAGAGAAAGCCGCCUUCCUGAGAAAAUUAGCCUGUUCGCUGGCCUUACAAGCGUAUUCUUCCAAGGCAUGCUGCACUUGUAUGGUUUGCUGUAUCCCGUGAACACGGACUAUGAUGCUGUGCUGGUAGCAGUGGACAUGGAGGGGAAGGUGUGGAAGACUAUCGGUGUGCCAUCAGGUGGUUUGAGUUUUGGUUUGAUCGGAGUGUCACAGCGGUGCUUGCACUAUGCUGCCACACCGCUAGCUCCUGACGACAAGAAGAAGAAGAAGAAGAGGAAGAAGAAAACGGAUGAGGAUACAACAACAGUCUGGUACAUGAAGGAUUAUGAUAGUAAAGAAUGGGUCCUGAAGCAUAGUGUCAGCUACGAUGAGUUGCGGAGCAUGACUGGUGGGGAGUACAGGGUGGCCGCUUUUCAUCCAGACUGCGACACCAUUUUCUUGGAUUCGUUUGAUGCUGAUACGUUGUCAUCAUACGAUAUGCAGCAUCGGAAAUUCCAUCGGAUCCGUAGUCUUCGGAAAAACAAGGCAGCGAUAUUUUUACCAUAUGUUCCAUUGUUCUCGGACUCAUUUGCAGGUGUAGAUCGACAGUAG
rnacentral:rRNA from 1 species